rnacentral:rRNA from 1 species
AGUGAACGCUGGCGGCAGGCCUAACACAUGCAAGUCGAACGGCAGCACGGCAGUAGCAAUACUGUGGGUGGCGAGUGGCGGACGGGUGAGGAAUACAUCGGGAUCUACCCUGUUGUGGGGGGAUAACGUAGGGAAACUUACGCUAAUACCGCAUAAGAACUGAGGUUGAAAGCGGCGGACCGCAAGGCGUCGCGCGAUUGGAUGAACCGAUGUCCGAUUAGCUAGUUGGCGGGGUAAAGGCCCACCAAGGCGACGAUCGGUAGCUGGUCUGAGAGGACGACCAGCCACACUGGGACUGAGACACGGCCCAGACUCCUACGGGAGGCAGCAGUGGGGAAUAUUGGACAAUGGGCGCAAGCCUGAUCCAGCCAUGCCGCGUGAGUGAUGAAGGCCUUAGGGUUGUAAAGCUCUUUUGCCGGGGACGAUAAUGACGGUACCCGGAGAAUAAGUCCCGGCUAACUUCGUGCCAGCAGCCGCGGUAAU